CCUACGGGUGGCAGCAGUAGGGAAUAUUGCUCAAUGGGGGAAACCCUGAAGCAGCAACGCCGUGUGGAGGAUGAAGGUUUUCGGAUUGUAAACUCCUUUUGUUAGAGAAGAUAAUUACGGUAUCUAAUGAAUAAGCACCGGAUAACUCCGUCCCAGCAGCCGCGGUCAUACGGAGGGUGCAAGCGUUACUCGGAAUCACUGGGCGUAACGAGCGCGUAGGCGGGAUAGCAAGUCAGAUGUGAAAUCCUAUGGCUUAACCAUAGAACUACAUUUGAAACUGUUAUUCUAGAGUAUGGGAGAGGUAGGUGGAAUUCUUGGUGUAGGGGUAAAAUCCGUAGAGAUCAAGAGGAAUACUCAUUGCGAAGGCGACCUGCUAGAACAUAACUGACGCUGAUGCGCGAAAGCGUGGGGAGCAAACAGGAUUAGAUACCCUGGUAGUC
rnacentral:rRNA from 1 species